rnacentral:rRNA from 1 species
AGCAGCCGCGGUAAUUCCAGCUCCAAUAGCGUAUAUUAAAGUUGCUGCAGUUAAAAGCUCGUAGUUGAAUUUCGGGACCAUCAUGUUGGUCGUGCCUCGGUACGUACUGGCAUUGUUGGUUUCUCCCUUCUGACGAACCAUGAUGUCAUUUAUUUGGUGUUGUGGGAAAUCAGGACUGUUACUUUGAAAAAUUGAGUGUUUAAAGCAGGCUCACGCUUGAAUGCAUUAGCAUGGAAUAAUGAAAUAGGACGUUUGAUUCUAUUUUGUUGGUUUCUAGGAUCGAUGUAAUGAUUAAUAGGGAUAGUUGGGGGCAUUAGUAUUCAAUUGUCAGAGGUGAAAUUCUUGGAUUUAUUGAAGACUAACUACUGCGAAAGCAUUUGCCAAGGAUGUUU